GAUGAACGCUAGCGGCAGGCUUAACACAUGCAAGUCGAGGGGGCAGCGGGGAGGAGGUAGCAAUACCACCUUGCCGGCGACCGGCGGAAGGGUGCGUAAACGCGUGAGCAACCUGCCCGUCACUGGGGAAUAACCGUUGGAAACGACGACUAAUACCCCAUAGUUCUGGAGGGAGGCAUCUCCCAUCAGGUAAAGAGAUUCGGUGACGGAUGGGCUCGCGUGACAUUAGCUAGUU
rnacentral:rRNA from 1 species